UUCUUCUUGUACAGAUAGGAAUAUCUCAUGGAUGGCUCAGGAAUUAGUCCCCAGAAUACCGAUCAAUCAACCUCUGUUGUGCCAUCUUCAGCAAAACGCUUUAAAUUGCUACCUGGUGACUGCCUUCCCAUUCUGGAUGAUCCAAAAAACGGCUUCUGGCAUGAAAAAUUCUAAAUUCUCAUGACGUAUAUGCAUCUAAGGACUUUCCAAUAAACGGUUUCAGAAAGUGAAAUCCCUAUGAAAGCCCUUGAAAACUGUCAACUGACAAAAAAUCUUCCUGGGCCUUUGUACCAAAAUGUAUAUUCUCAAAGGAAUAUUCGUCUUCGGCUAGCGCUUAGUCAUCAGUACUUUAGUACUCCAACCAAAGAACUCUGCAGUGACAAGGCUAAUCGACAAGUGUCAGAGCAAAGCACAAUGACGUUACGGCAUCUCAAGGGGUCAGUCCUCUUGAACAGGUGGAUAAUCUGCUUACUGAGAAGCAAGUGUGUUCUAAGCAGAUAUCCAAUCAAGAUCUGCUCAAAUUUCAGAAUUAUGCUCAAGUAAAUCCGAGAGGUACUUGCUGUCCAAUGACUUUUCAAAUCCACAUCCCGUUGAUGAUAUUCCAAGGCCUCAGGCUGAUUCUGUUGGAAUGACCGGAAGAAAAUGUUCCUGAGCAUGUGCUUUUCAGGCAACUCAGGUUGAUUAUUUGCAGACAAACUGCUGGGACCUUUGCAGCCUCCAAAUGGAAUUGUUCAUGUUGAAUAGACAAUGCAGGGUUCGAUUUUUGCUUGGUGAAGGUGUAUUUAGCCGUACAUGAGGUUUAGGAUCCAUUUUUGAAAACCUAGAAAAGCAUCUCUUCAAUUGUUCAUUCUAAUCUUGUGAAUUACACUUUCGAAACUGGCCUCUGUUUAUAUUUGCAUAGAAAUAAAGUAAAUACCUUCCAAUUACCAUU